rnacentral:rRNA from 1 species
GACAAACGCUGGCGGAAUGUAUUAGGCAUGCAAGUCGUACGAACCUUCGGGUUAGUGGCGAACGGGUGAGUAACACGUGGGUAACCUGCCUCGUAGUGGGGAAUAACUCGCCGAAAGGCGAGCUAAUACCGCAUAACACCCCUGGUGAGAUUCCAGGUGGUAAAAGCUCCGGCGCUACGAGAGGGGCCCGCGGCCGAUUAGCUAGUUGGUGGGGUAACAGCCUACCAAGGCGACGAUCGGUAGCUGGUCUGAGAGGAUGGUCAGCCACACGGGGACUGAGAUACGGCCCCGACUCCUACGGGAGGCAGCAGCUAAGAAUCUUGCGCAAUGGGCGGAAAGACCUGACGCAGCAAUUCCGCGUGGGGGACGGAAGGCCCUCCGGGUCGUAAACCCCUUUUCGUUGAGGGAAGAAGUUCUGACGGUACCUCACGAAUAAGACACGGCUAACUACGUGCCAG